AUUGAACGCUGGCGGCAGGCCUAACACAUGCAAGUCGAGCGGAUGAAGGGAGCUUGCUCCUGGAUUCAGCGGCGGACGGGUGAGUAAUGCCUAGGAAUCUGCCUGGUAGUGGGGGAUAACGUCCGGAAACGGGCGCUAAUACCGCAUACGUCCCGAGGGAGAAAGUGGGGGAUCUUCGGACCUCACGCUAUCAGAUGAGCCUAGGUCGGAUUAGCUAGUUGGUGGGGUAAAGGCCUACCAAGGCGACGAUCCGUAACUGGUCUGAGAGGAUGAUCAGUCACACUGGAACUGAGACACGGUCCAGACUCCUACGGGAGGCAGCAGUGGGGAAUAUUGGACAAUGGGCGAAAGCCUGAUCCAGCCAUGCCGCGUGAGUGAAGAAGGUCUUCGGAUUGUAAAGCACUUUAAGUUGGGAGGAAGGUCAGUAAGUUAAUACCUUGCUGUUUUGACGUUACCAACAGAAUAAGCACCGGCUAACUUCGUG
rnacentral:rRNA from 1 species